UACGGAGGAUGCGAGCGUUAUCCGGAUUUAUUGGGUUUAAAGGGUGCGCAGGCGGGAGAUUAAGUCAGCGGUGAAAUUUUGCAGCUCAACUGUAAAAGUGCCUUCGAAACUGGUUUCCUUGAGUGUAGAUGAAGUAGGCGGAAUUUGUGGUGUAGCGGUGAAAUGCAUAGAUAUCACGAGGAACUCCGAUUGCGCAGGCAGCUUACUAAACUACUACUGACGCUCAGGCACGAAGGCGUGGGGAUCAAACAGGAUUAGAUACCCGU
rnacentral:rRNA from 1 species